rnacentral:rRNA from 1 species
UACGGAGGGUGCGAGUGUUAAUCGGAAUUACUGGGCGUAAAGAGUAUGUAGGCGGUUAGAUAAGUUGAAUGUGAAAUCUCUGGGCUCAACCUAGAAACUGCAUUCAAAACUGUUUAGCUAGAGUACGAUAGAGGGAGGUAGAAUUCACAGUGUAGCGGUGGAAUGCGUAGAUAUCAUGAGGAAAGUCAAAUGCGAAGGCAGCCUUCUGGCUCAAAACUGACGCUGAGGUACGAAAGCGUGGGUAGCGAACAGG